rnacentral:misc_RNA from 1 species
CAUCGAUGAAGAACGCAGCGUAGCCAGCAUCGAUAAAGAACGCAGCGUAGCCA